GUUUGAGAUCUGGUAAAACAUCAGGUCUUAGUCCAGGGAAGAGAAGGCUGAAUCCAGGACAGAAGACCCUUCCUGACAGACAAGAGGUUUGAGAUCUGGUAAAACAUCAGGUCUUAGUCCAGGAAGAGAAGGCUGAAUCCAGGACAGAAGACCCUUCCUGACAGACAAGAGGUUUGAGAUCUGGUAAAACAUCAGGUCUUAGUCCAGGAAGAGAAGGCUGAAUCCAGGACAGAAGACCCUUCCUGACAGACAAGAGGUUUGAGAUCUGGUGAAACAACAUCAGGUCUUAGUCCAGGAAGAGAAGGCUGAAUCCAGGACAGAAGACCCUUCCUGACAGACAAGAGGUUUGACAUCUGGUAAAACAUCAGGUCUUAGAUGGACAUAGUAGUUUCAAGAGUAGUAGGCAAGGCCCAGUUCUGUGACAGAGGACAUGGUUAGGAAGGCCCCAAUCACUCUCUCUCUCUCUCUCCCUCUCUCUCUCUCCACACACACACACACACACACACACACACACACACACACACACACACACACACACACACACACACACACACACACACACAAAGAAGGUUCAGUCUCACCCACCACGUGGAACUCAAAGAAGAAUGAACAUUCUGAGAGAAUUGACAUUGAUUAAAGAAAAUAAGAAGAAAUUAAUUUAUUAAGAUAGUAAUAAAAUGUUAAAUAUGUUAAAUGUUGGAAGCAUUGGGAAACAUAUAGUGGGAGAUAUUAAAAGGUGAUUCAAGUAAUGCAGUGAAAUGGUUCAGAAUGUUUUAAUGUUGGUUGCUUUAAGGUACGAUGCUUGUAGACUGUGUUGGUUAGGUUUAAAGGACAAGGCCUUAUGGUCUGUAGGAGGUUGGUAAUGACAUGUUAUAAUGAUGAAAUGGUAUAAUGUUGAAGGGUUUUAAAAAUGUUGAUUGUUUAGGAAGUAAUGGGAAGAAUAGGUUCGAGUGGGAUUAUAAUUGAGAAGGGAAUGUUAAUGUUUAAAAAUUCAUGUUUAGAAAUAAAUGUUUUAAAAGUUAAUGAUAAUGGAGUGUACUGAGGGUGCUAUCUUGCUUUGGGAAUCCCCCGGUCAGAGCAGCCAGGAGGAGGCAUCCUGUCUAGACGUCCUGCCUAUGUGAGGAAAGAUGGGGGUUAGUGGGUGCUGAAAGAGCACCUUUUGAGUGAUGGCCACAUUAGGUGCUAACCACUGAAUGCAUCAUUGGAGCAGGUGUUAGCCACAAUGAGUUAACAGAAAGGAAGAUGGAGGGUAUAAAGGAGGCAUCAUUCUGGAGAAGGGUACGACUCUCUAUUAGCUUCAACAACCUGUGGACUGAUGGAAGAAGAUUUCUGCUGUAGCUUUUUAGCUUGAAAUAUAUUUUUAUAUAUAUUAAACUCAUAUUUAGAUUUAUAUUAUACUCAUAUUUAGAUUUAUAUUAUACUCAUAUUUAGAUUUAUAUUAUUCUCAUAUUUAGAUUUGUAUUAUUCUCAGUUAAAGUAAAAUUCUAGGAGGGAUCCUUAAGGUUUCCUCAUUGAUAGAAGUGUGUUAAAGUAGCUGGUAGAGUUUUUAGACGCCAACUGAGGGACUGAUCAUCCUGAGGGGGGAGAUAAAAAACAGUAUGUAAAGUUGUAGAAGGUAAGAACCUGUUUUUCUAUAUAUUAAUUACUGUGCUUCUCAUAAAGUUGUAAAAUACAAAACAUAUUUUAUUGGCAAUAAGGGUAUAGUUAUUAAGGGCUCUGAAGGUGUCUAUCAAUUUAAUUUACUGUUGAUGUUGCUUAUCAUUGAUGGUGAUAUUGAUUUGUGAUUGACUGAUUGAUCUGGGAUUUUUUAUGCCUCUUUCUGGGAUUUUGAAUAAACUUUCCUUAUUGUUCUGAAA